AUUGAACGCUGGCGGCAUGCCUAACACAUGCAAGUCGAACGUGAAAGAGGGGUAACCCUUGAGUAAAGUGGCGAACGGGUGAGUAAUGCAUAGGAAUCUGCCCUAGAGUGGGGGAUAACCUGCCGAAAGGCGGGCUAAUACCGCUUAAUCUCUGAGGAGGAAAGGUGCCUAGCUACUAAAUCAUUUAAAAGUAAGUGAUUUAGUAGCUAGGUAUUGCUUUAGGAUGAGCCUAUGUCGGAUUAGCUUGUUGGUAAGGUAAUGGCUUACCAAGGCGACGAUCCGUAGCUGGUCUGAGAGGACGAUCAGCCACACUGGAACUGAGACACGGUCCAGACUCC
rnacentral:rRNA from 1 species